UACGAAGGGGGCUAGCGUUGCUCGGAAUCACUGGGCGUAAAGCGCACGUAGGCGGAUUGCUAAGUCAGGGGUGAAAUCCUGGAGCUCAACUCCAGAACUGCCUUUGAUACUGGGGAGCUCGAGUCCGGAAGAGGUGAGUGGAACUCCGAGUGUAGAGGUGAAAUUCGUAGAUAUUCGGAAGAACACCAGUGGCGAAGGCGGCUCACUGGUCCGGUACUGACGCUGAGGUGCGAAAGCGUGGGGAGCAAACAGG
rnacentral:rRNA from 1 species